rnacentral:rRNA from 1 species
GUGAAUAGCUGGUCUCAGUGACUAGGGGGGCCCGACUGUUUAAUAAAAACAUAGGUCUCUGCUAGUUCGAAAGGAUGUGUAUAGAGGCCGAAGCCUGCCCAGUGUCGGCAUCUGAAAAUCUGUUCCAACGGAUCGAAGGACCGAUAAACGGCGGGGGUAACGAUGACCCUCUUAAGGUAGCGUAAUACCUUGUCGCUUAAUUGGCGACUUGCAUGAAGGCUCAACGAGUGUUCUACUGUCCCCGCCAUGACGCUAGUGAAAACAAUCAGUCUGGUGCACAAUCCAGACCCCUCCAUCUGAAAGCGAAGACCCCAUGGAGUUUCACUGCAACCUGUUGUUGUUGUAAGAAUUGGCAUGUGUAGGGUAGGCGGGAGACGUUACCCAGGAAGGUACGCUAGUAUCUCUCCGAGUCACCGAUGAAACACCGCCCUUGCAAGUUUUUACGACUCACCUCUCCGGAGGAACAGCUAUAGGCAGGCAGUUCGGGUGGGGCGCCACGCCCUCAAAAAGAUAACAAGGGUGCCCAAAGGUUGGCUCAGGUAGGUCAGAAAUCUACCGAAGAAUGUAAGGGUAUAAGCCAGCUUGACUCGGAACCAGACAAUAGGGUUCGGAGAUAGGAAACUAAGGCCUAACGAACCAAUCAACCUCCUGAAUGGGGGUGAUUGAUGUCAGAAAAAUUACCCUGGGGAUAAUUGAGUUGUCACGAGCAAGAGUUCACAUCGACCUCGUGGCUUGCUACUUCGCUGUCGGCUCUCCCUAUCCUGGUGGUGCAGCAGCUGCCAAGGGUGGGGUUGUUCGCCCAUUAAAAGGGAUCGUGAGCUGGGUUUAAAACGUCGCGAGACAGUUUUGUUGCUUUUUGAUGGAGGUGUUGGUACCUGAUGAGAAGGACCCUUUAGUACGAGAGGAACAGGGGUUCGUCGCCUCUAGUUUAUCAGUUGUCUGACAAGGCACGCUGAGUAGCCACGCGGUAGUGGAUAAGAGCUGAAAGCAUCUAAGCUCGAAGCCAUCUUAAAAAAGAGGUACCCAUAGGACGCUCGUAAAUGACGAGUUCGAUAGAAGCCGGAUGUAAGUGCCGAGGUUCGCCGAGGUAUUCAGUCCUGGCUCACUAAAGUUCUUUGACGUCGCU